UACAGAGGUCCCAAGCGUUGUUCGGAUUCACUGGGCGUAAAGGGUGCGUAGGCGGUCGGGUAAGUCUGAUGUGAAAUCUCACAGCUUAACUGUGAAACUGCGUUGGAUACUAUCUUGCUAGAGGAAUGGAGGGGAGACUGGAAUACUUGGUGUAGCAGUGAAAUGCGUAGAUAUCAAGUGGAACACCAGUGGCGAAGGCGAGUCUCUGGACAUUUCCUGACGCUGAGGCACGAAAGCCAGGGGAGCAAACGGG
rnacentral:rRNA from 1 species